ACAGUCAUAUCACAUUGAAACACCAGUUCUCAUACAAUCACAGAAAUUAAGCAAUGUCAAGCCUGGUUAGUAUUUAGAUGGGUGACCACUUGGGAAUACAAGGUGCUGUAA